rnacentral:lncRNA from 1 species
GUCAACAACCACCUCCUUCUAUGGCCGUCAACAACAACCACCAUCCCUCCGUCAACAAAAUCGUUCCAGCUCUUUGACUAGUUCCAAGAUUUAAUUUUCUUUUUUCUUCACCCAUAAACUUUAUCUCUUCCACCUGAAACAACUACCUCCUUCUAUUAAUCCAAGCUCCACAUUUUCAAAUAGCCCCAAAAUUUUAGGGUUUUUUCUCGACUAAGCUCGACCACCUCCUUUUGCAAUUUCUCAAUAGUUGAGCCAUAAUUUGUAGAUUCCAUUAGUGAGGAAGAAAUUGCAACUGAUAGCCGUGGGAUAAAUCGCGGUAAGUUUUUUUAAUAUCUUUUUAAUUUAAAUUUUAGAUAACCGCAUUUGACAGUUGUGUUUUUGAAUGAAUAUUUUAGUAUUAAUAUUCGUUAUUAUCCGAUUCAACUGAUUUUUAUUUUUGGGAGUAUUUGAGCGGCAUAGUAUAAUUGAAUGGAGAUUAAACACACUGGUGCAUGUCUUCUUAUUGUGCUUGAAAUUAUUAAUUUCAUUAAAAUUAUGCUUUACGUAGUACAAUUGAUAGGGUUUGAUUCUAUAUUUUGUUAGAUAUAUCACUGUUUGAUUUAGUUGUCUUUGUUAAAUUUUUGUUUCUUGUUCAACUUAACAACUUUAAAGCUGUGAGUUUUUUCUACUGAAGCUUUUAAUCUAAGUUAGAGUUCUAUUAGGAUUUUGUUGUACUAUAAUUUCUCCCUUUUUGUUCUUGUUAUAUAUGAGUUCGUAGCAUAUAUGUGACCUUACUUAGCACAGUUUAAUAUCUUUUCAUUAUAUACUGAAGUUAAAAGGUGAGCAAAAACCCGAAUAUGCUUGCUUGUUACAAGUAGAUAUCCAUAUCCCUUAUUUUGCCACGCUAAUGAUUUUUCUCAUUGUUAGCAACCAUAAGCCAGAAACUAAAGGAUAUAGUUUCUCAUUGUUAGCAACCAUAAGCCAGAAACUCCAGUUUAUGUGUUUGUCGUUGUAACUUACCUUCAAUUGAUAUAUUACAAUGUUGUCUGAAUAAGUCGUGUUAACUGAAAAAUGGUAAGGGCUUUCAAUCGUGAAAUCUUUUUUUGAUAUAAUGUUGACUUGGAAUUUGCUAAGGAGCAGAUAUAUGCUGCUGCAACUUUCUUUUCUUUCAGAACACUCUGAACUCAUAGCUGAUAUGAUUUCUUAUUGUCGAAGUCACCAUUAAAAUUGUAUACACAAAGUGAUACAUAUCUCUACGUAGGUUAAACUGAUCAUAUGUUUUCUUCUCAAUGUGGAAAGUACUAACACUAUUUGGAAAUCAUAAGCUUCUUGAUCAGUUUUAGAUUCCAUCCGGAGCUAUUUUUGGGCUAAAUUUUAUAGGCGAAUUGUGGUUAUUUAUAUUACAUGAACUCACUUAUAGAUGAGUAUCUGAUAUAAGCACAUCUAAUUGCUAUCUAGUACAUCAAAGUAAAUAAAGAAUCCAUGUAAUCAGGUGGCUAUUUAGAUUUUUUCAUUAUACUUAAUUUGAGCCUAAUAUGGAUAAGAGUUAACUUUGCUUACCUUGAAUAUCAAUUUUGGUGAUUUGAAUAUGUUAUAU